AACGAACGCUGGCGGCAGGCUUAACACAUGCAAGUCGAACGGGCACCUUCGGGUGUCAGUGGCAGACGGGUGAGUAACGCGUGGGAACCUACCCAGUGGUACGGAAUAACUCGGGGAAACCCGAGCUAAUACCGUAUACGCCCUCAGGGGGAAAGAUUUAUCGCCAUUGGAUGGGCCCGCGUCGGAUUAGCUAGUUGGUGAGGUAACGGCUCACCAAGGCGACGAUCCGUAGCUGGUCUGAGAGGAUGAUCAGCCACACUGGGACUGAGACACGGUCCAGACUCCUACGGGAGGCAGCAGUGAGGAAUAUUGCGCGAUGGAGGAAACUCUGACGCAGCGACGCCGCGUGAAGGAUGAAGGCCCUCUGGGUUGUAAACUUCUGUAGAGUGGGAAGAAUUUCCGCCUCUGGCGGAUUGACGGUACCACUAAAGUAAGGGUCGGCUAACUACGUGCCAGCAGCCGCGGUAAUACGUAGGACCCGAGCGUGUCCGGAAUCACUGGUGUAAGGGAGG
rnacentral:rRNA from 1 species